GACGGAGGGUGCAAGCGUUGUUCGGAAUUACUGGGCGUAAAGGGCGCGUAGGCGGUCUGUUAAGUUCGGUGUGAAAGCCCCCGGCUCACCUGGGGAACUGCGCCGGAAACCGACAGACUCGAGUACCGGAGAGGAGGGUGGAAGUUCCUGGUGUAGCGGUGGAAGUGCGCAGAUAUCAGGAGGAACACCGGUGGCGAAGGCGGGUCUCUGGGCGAGUGAACUGACGCUGGAGGAGCGAAAGCGUCGGGAGCGAACAGG
rnacentral:rRNA from 1 species